UACGUAGGUGGCAAGCGUUGUCCGGAUUUACUGGGCGUAAAGGGCGUGCAGGCGGUCUGUUAAGUCUAGGGUGAAAGCUCCCGGCUCAACUGGGAGAGGUCCUUGGAUACUGGCGGACUUGAGGGAGGCAGAGGAAAGUGGAAUUCCCGGUGUAGUGGUGAUAUGCGUAGAUAUCGGGAGGAACACCAGUGGCGAAGGCGGCUUUCUGGGCCUUACCUGACGCUGAGACGCGAAAGCCAGGGGAGCGAACGGG
rnacentral:rRNA from 1 species